UAAAGCAGCGCGAUCCUCGCGCAGGACGCCUAAGGACAAGUCCCCACACCGGCCAGCUCAUGUUUCAGCCCUAUUCCCUCCCAACUAGUCGCUAUGGCACAGGGACAAAGUGGGCUUCUUACCGGGGGAUAAGCGCUUUGGAAAAUGAGAUGAAAUGGAAAAGAAGAUUGAACAAAGAAAGUAAUGCGAAAUGGGUUCAAUCACAAAUACCAAGAAAAAAAAACCUCCCCCAACCAACAAAUUCUCUCCAACCACAUUUAGAGCAUACACAUGAUGGCCUGCAUCCACCCUGACCGCAGAGAGCAGACUUUGUAGAGGAGCUCGGAGAGCUGCACAUCAAUCCAGUGACCCCGGCCUUGUCAGCAUCUCACUGCAUGCUCAGCAGCUUCUGGGAACACUCUCCCUCUCCUGCCCCGACCUGAC